UACAGAGGGGGCAAGCGCUAUUCGGAAUUAUUGGGCGUAAAGGGCGCGUAGGCGGCUUGGCAAGUGGAAGGUGAAAUCCCUCGGCUUAACCGAGGAACUGCCCUCCAAACUGCUUCGCUUGAGACCGGGAGAGGUGAGUGGAAUUCCCAGUGUAGCGGUGAAAUGCGUAGAUAUUGGGAGGAACACCAGUGGCGAAGGCGGCUCACUGGACCGGUACUGACGCUGAUGCGCGAAAGCGUGGGGAGCAAACGGG
rnacentral:rRNA from 1 species